rnacentral:rRNA from 1 species
CAGCAGCCGCGGUAAUACGUAGGGGGCGAGCGUUGUCCGGAAUUAUUGGGCGUAAAGCGCGCGCAGGCGGUCCUUUAAGUCUGAUGUGAAAGCCCACGGCUCAACCGUGGAGGGUCAUUGGAAACUGGGGGACUUGAGUGCAGGAGAGGAGAGCGGAAUUCCACGUGUAGCGGUGAAAUGCGUAGAGAUGUGGAGGAACACCAGUGGCGAAGGCGGCUCUCUGGCCUGUAACUGACGCUGAGGCGCGAAAGCGUGGGGAGCAAACAGGAUUAGAUACCCUGGUAGUCCACGCCGUAAACGAUGAGUGCUAAGUGUUAGAGGGGUCACACCCUUUAGUGCUGCAGCUAACGCGAUAAGCACUCCGCCUGGGGAGUACGGCCGCAAGGUUGAAACUUAAAGGAAUUGGCGGG